rnacentral:rRNA from 1 species
GGAAUUUUGGACAAUGGGCGCAAGCCUGAUCCAGCAAUGCCGCGUGAGUGAAGAAGGCCUUCGGGUUGUAAAGCUCUUUUGUCAGGGAAGAACCGGUGAGGGCUAAUAUCCUUCACUAAUGACGGUACCUGAAGAAGAAGCCCCGGCUAACUACUGGCCAGCAGCCGCGGGAAUACGUAGGGUGCAAGCGUUAAUCGGAAUUACUGGGCGUAAAGCGUGCGCAGGCGGUUUUGUAAGUCUGAUGUGAAAUCCCCGGGCUCAACCUGGGAAUUGCAUUGGAGACUGCAAGGCUAGAAUCUGGCAGAGGGGGGUAGAAUUCCACGUGUAGCAGUGAAAUGCGUAGAGAUGUGGAGGAACACCGAUGGCGAAGGCAGCCCCCUGGGUCAAGAUUGACGCUCAUGCACGAAAGCGUGGGGAGCAAAC